UACGUAGGGGGCAAGCGUUAUCCGGAUUUACUGGGUGUAAAGGGAGCGUAGACGGCAAUACAAGUCGGAAGUGAAAUACCCGGGCUCAACCUGGGAACUGCUUUGGAAACUGUAUGGCUGGAGUGCUGGAGAGGUAAGCGGAAUUCCUAGUGUAGCGGUGAAAUGCAUAGAUAUCACGCAGAACCCCGAUUGCGAAGGCAGCCUUCCGGCGCCCUACUGACGCUGAGGCACGAAAGUGCGGGGAUCGAACAGG
rnacentral:rRNA from 1 species